rnacentral:misc_RNA from 1 species
UUGAAAACAAGGGUGUCCAAUUUAACUUGGAACCAACUUCUCAAUUCUAACUUUGUGCCAUCUGUAUUAAUGGCGAGCAACUUCGGUUGUGAGGCCUUCACUUACAAACACUAGUCUAUGAAUGUAAAAUUUUAUAACAAAUA